rnacentral:rRNA from 1 species
GACGAACGCUGGCGGCGUGCCUAAUACAUGCAAGUUGAGCGGUGAGGCUUGGUGCUUGCGCCGAUUUGGAGAGCAGAGCACGGGUGAGUAACGCGUGGGGAAUCUGCCUUUGAGCGGGGGACAACAUGGGGAAACGAGUGAUAAUACGGCAUAAUAACUUUAAGCAUAGGGGUGAAGGGUGAAAGAUGCAAGUGCAUCACUCAAAGAUGAUCCCUCGUUGUAUUAGCUAGUUGGUGAGGUAAAGGCUCACCAAGGCGAUGAUACAUAGCCGACCUGAGAGGGCGGUCGGCCACAUUGGGACUGAGACACGGCCCAAACGCCUACGGGAGGCAGCAGUAGGGAAUCUUGGGCAAUGGACGAGAGUCUGACCGAGCAACGCGGAGGGAGUGAAGAAGGUUGUCGGGUCGUAAAACUCUGUUGGUAGGGUAUAACGUGCGUGAGCGUGGAAAGCUCAGCGAGUGACGGUAACUACCCAGAAAGCGACGGCUAACUACGUG